ACCCGCUGAACUUAAGCAUAUCAAUAAGCGGAGGAAAAGAAACCAACAGGGAUUGCUCUAGUAACGGCGAGUGAAGCAGCAAUAGCUCAAAUUUGAAAUCUGGCGUCUUCGGCGUCCGAGUUGUAAUUUGUAGAGGAUGCUUCUGGGCAGCCACCGACCUAAGUUCCUUGGAACAGGACGUCAUAGAGGGUGAGAAUCCCGUAUGCGGUCGGAAAGGCACCCUACACGUAGCUCCUUCGACGAGUCGAGUUGUUUGGGAAUGCAGCUCUAAAUGGGAGGUAAAUUUCUUCUAAAGCUAAAUAUUGGCCAGAGACCGAUAGCGCACAAGUAGAGUGAUCGAAAGAUGAAAAGCACUUUGGAAAGAGAGUUAAAAAGCACGUGAAAUUGUUGAAAGGGAAGGGAUUGCAACCAGACUUGCUCGCGGUGUUCCGCCGGUCUUCUGACCGGUCUACUCGCCGCGUUGCAGGCCAGCAUCGUCUGGUGCCGCUGGAUAAGACUUGAGGAAUGUAGCUCCCUCGGGAGUGUUAUAGCCUCUUGUGAUGCAGCGAGCGCCGGGCGAGGUCCGCGCUUCGGCUAGGAUGCUGGCGUAAUGGUUGUAAUCCGCCCGUCUUGAAACACGGACCAAGGAGUCUAACAUCUAUGCGAGUGUUCGGGUGUCAAACCCCUACGCGUAAUGAAAGUGAACGGAGGUGAGAACCGCAAGGUGCAUCAUCGACCGAUCCUGAUGUCUUCGGAUGGAUUUGAGUAUGAGCAUAGCUGUUGGGACCCGAAAGAUGGUGAACUAUGCCUGAAUAGGGUGAAGCCAGAGGAAACUCUGGUGGAGGCUCGCAGCGGUUCUGACGUGCAAAUCGAUCGUCAAAUUUGGGUAUAGGGGCGAAAGACUAAUCGAACCAUCCAUGGCGCCC
rnacentral:rRNA from 1 species